GUAGUUUGAUCCUGGCGUCAGGAUGAACGCUGGCGGCGUGCUUAACACAUGCAAGUCGAACGGUGAAAGAGGGAGCUUGCUCCUUCUGGAUCAGUGGCGAACGGGUGGAGUAACACGUGAGUAACCUGCCCUUGACUCUGGGAUAAGCGUUGGAAACGACGUCUAAUACCGGAUACGAGCUUCGGAGGCAUCUCCAGGAGCUGGAAAGAACUUCGGUCAAGGAUGGACUCGCGGCCUAUCAGGUAGUUGGUGAGGUAACGGCUCACCAAGCCGACGACGGGUAGCCGGCCUGAGAGGGUGACCGGCCACACUGGGACUGAGACACGGCCCAGACUCCUACGGGAGGCAGCAGUGGGGGAAUAUUGCACAAUGGGCGAAAGCCUGAUGCAGCAACGCCGCGUGAGGGACGACGGCCUUCGGGUUGUAAACCUCUUUUAGUAGGGAAGAAGCGAAAGUGACGGUACCUGCAGAAAAAGCACCGGCUAACUACGUG
rnacentral:rRNA from 1 species